AUCGAGAAACCCUCUUUUAACAUG
rnacentral:snRNA from 1 species